rnacentral:tRNA from 1 species
CAGUGGGUAGCGCAGUCUGGUUAGCGUGCUUGAUUGGAAAUCGAGAGGUCGCCGGUUCGAAUCCGGCCCUACUCU